rnacentral:rRNA from 1 species
UCGCAGGCUGCAACCCGCCCUGCGUGAAGUUGGAAUUGCUAGUAAUCGCGGAUCAGCAUGCCGCGGUGAAUACGUUCCCGGGCCUUGUACACACCGCCCGUCACACCAUGGGAGCCGGUAAUACCCGAAGUCAGUAGCCUAACCGCAAGGGGGGCGCUGCCGAAGGUAGGAUUGGCGACUGGGGUGAAGUCGUAACAAGGUAAC